rnacentral:rRNA from 1 species
GAUGAACGCUGGCGGCGUGCCUAAUACAUGCAAGUCGAGCGAACAGACGAGGAGCUUGCUCCUCUGACGUUAGCGGCGGACGGGUGAGUAACACGUGGAUAACCUACCUAUAAGACUGGGAUAACUUCGGGAAACCGGAGCUAAUACCGGAUAAUAUAUUGAACCGCAUGGUUCAAUAGUGAAAGACGGUUUUGCUGUCACUUAUAGAUGGAUCCGCGCCGCAUUAGCUAGUUGGUAAGGUAACGGCUUACCAAGGCAACGAUGCGUAGCCGACCUGAGAGGGUGAUCGGCCACCCUGGAACGUAGCCACGCUCCAGACUCCUACGGGAGGCAGCAGUAGGGAAUCUUCCGCAAUGGGCGAAAGCCUGACGGAGCAACGCCGCGUGAGUGAUGAAGGUCUUCGGAUCGUAAAACUCUGUUAUUAGUGAAGAACAAAUGUGUAAGUAACUAUGCACGUCUUGACGGUACCUAAUCAGAAAGCCACGGCUAACUACGUG